CUCGCCCCAAGAUGAGGCCACCCACCUCCGCGAGAGGGUAAGCGCGCUGGGAGACGACCAGUUCGAUAGGCCGGUGGUGGAAGCGUGGUAACACGUGUAGCCUACCGGUACUAACGCGCGAGGGCUUGC
rnacentral:rRNA from 1 species